rnacentral:rRNA from 1 species
AUUGAACGCUGGCGGCAGGCCUAACACAUGCAAGUCGAGCGGAUGAAGGGAGCUUGCUCCUGGAUUCAGCGGCGGACGGGUGAGUAAUGCCUAGGAAUCUGCCUGGUCGUGGGGGAUAACGUCCGGAAACGGGCGCUAAUACCGCAUCCGUCCUGAGGGAGAAAGUGGGGGAUCUUCGGACCUCACGCUAUCAGAUGAGCCUAGGUCGGAUUAGCUAGUUGGUGGGGUAAAGGCCUACCAAGGCGACGAUCCGUAACUGGUCUGAGAGGGUGAUCAGUCAAACUGGAACUGAGACACGGUCCACACCCGUCAGGGAGGCAGCGGUGGGGAAUAUUGGCCAAUGGGCGAAAGCCUGAUGCAGCCAUGCCGCGUGUGUGAAGAGGGUCUUCGGAUUUUAAAGCACUUUAAGAUGGGAGGAAGGUCAGUAAGUUAAUACCUUGCUGUUUUGACGUUACCAACAGAGUAAGCAACGGCUAACUUCGUG